AAUAGGGCUCAGAACUGCCCCACGUCGGGGCAAUAAGGCAGAAAUCUGCCCCAUAUAGGGGCAAUAGGGCAGAAAUCUGCCCCAUAUAGGGGCAAUAGGGCUCAGAACUGCCCCACGUCGGGGCAAUAGGGCAGAAAUCUGCUCCAUAUUGAGGCUAUAGGGCAGAAAUCUGCCCCACGUCGGGGCAAUAGGGGCAGAAAUCUGCCCCACGUCGGGGCAGUAGGGCUCAGAACUGCCCCAUGUAGGGGUAAUAGGGCAGAAAUCUGCCCCAUAUUGAGGCUAUAGGGCAGAAAUCUGCCCGACGUCGGGGCAAUUGGGGUUCAAAACGGCCCCAUAUAGGGGCAAUAGGGGCAAAAAUCUGCCCCACGUCGGGGCAACAGGGCAGAAAUCUGCCCCAUAUAGGGGCAGUAGGGCUCAGAACUGUUCCAUAUAGGGGCAAUAGGGCAGAAAUCUGCCCCAUAUUGAGGCUAUAGGGCAGAAAUCUGCCCCGUGUUGGGGCAAUAGGGGCAAAAAUCUGCCCCAUGUAGGGGCAAUAGGGGCAAAAAUCUGCCCUAUGUUGGGGCAAUAGGGCAGAAAUCUGCCCCAUAUUGAGGCUAUAGGGCAGAAAUCUGCCCCACGUCGGGCCAAUAGCGCAGCAACCCGCCCCAUAUUGUCCCUAUAGGAACAAAACGUCCUCACCCCAUAACGGGAUUUCCCCCCCCCCCCCCCCCCCCCCCCCCCCCCCCCCCCCCCCCCCCCCCCCCCCCCCCCCCCGGUCCCUCCGCCCCACAUCGGGGUUGGGCUCAUCCUCUAUAGGGCCGUAGUGGAAAUAGGGGCGGCCCCGGAGGCGGAGCGCGGAAGAGAGGAACGGAGUUUUUAGGGCGGCUGCGGGGUUCUGAGCCCCGCUGAGCGCCGGGGGGUCGGGAGGAGGAGAGGAGUGGGGGGCAUCGCGGUGGGGGGGGGGCGUGGGGGUCCCCGUUGGGUCCCGUUGGAUCCCAUUGGAGAUUCCGAUCAGAACCCCAUUGGGUCCCGUUGGAGAUCCUAAUCGGACCCCAUCACCUGGAGAUCCUAAUUGGACCCCAUUGGAUCCCAUUGGACCCCAUUGGACCCCACUGGACCCCAUUGGACCCCAUUGGAUCCCAUUGGAGAUCCUAAUCGGACCCCAUCACCUGGAGAUCCUAAUUGGACCCCAUUGGACCCCAUUGGACCCCAUCGCAUCCCAUCGGACCCCACUGGACCCCAUUGGAGCCCAUUGGAUCCCAUUGGACCCCAUUCAAUCCCAUUGGAUCCCAUUGGACCCCUUUGGAUCCCAUUGGACGCCACUGGAUCCCAUUGGACCCCACUGGACCCCAUUGGACCCCAUUGGACCCCAUCGGAUCCCAUUGGACCC
rnacentral:lncRNA from 1 species